UUUAGUGUGAUAGUUAGUGUAGUAGGUGUGGUAGCUAUUAAAACAGAGUUCAUCAUAUUACAGUUAAAUUUGUUUAUUGGAUUCGUGAGUUUAUAUUUGUUAUUUUGGCGAAUGCAUGUACGCAUUAUGGAAUUACCAGCUACCAAUUUCUGAGAGAUAUGGACAAAAUUAACAGCAAUGGCAUCCUUAGAGGUAGUUGACAGACAUCAUGAACAAGAAUUCCUAGCUGUAAUGCAAUCUUAUGUACUAUGAGAUACUGGUGCAGGAGCUGAUUGUUCCCAAAGUAGUGGCUUGUGUGCUAGGGUUCAUUCAUGCAAACCAUGGGACAGCAAUUACAGAUUACUUACACGCCCAGUUGAAGGACGCACAGAAUGAGAUGACCUGUCACUGGAGCUGUUUAAGAUUGAGUUUGGCUGCUACAGGAUCGCUUGUGGAUAUUUGAAAUUGAGCCUUUAUCAAAGUGAUAUUAUUAUGGGACAAGGGUUCCGCUAUAGGCAUGAUCAUUCUUGGAUCCAGAUCAAUGCAAGCAAUUGAGGAUAUGGUUGAGAUGACGCUGUUCCUGGCGAGGCUGCGGGCAUCGCUAUAGCCGAGAAUAUAGUUGGGGAUAUGGCGGCGACCGGCUACUGGUGAUUCAGAAAUUUUAUUAGACAGGUUAGUAUGAAAAUUGUGAUACAAUCGAGAAACGAACUUGUUAACACGACGACCUAUUAAACUUUUUCGAACGAUUAAAGUAAGAUAAAUUUCACGGAUUAAGAAAUUUUCGACAUUGUGAAUGAUUUUGAUUAAAGAUUACAAAAAGGUUAAUAACUUUUGUUAAAUUUUUUUAUCUUAAGUAUAUGAUAAAUUAUAUUUUUUUAAUAAACAUUAUAUGUACUUACUUUGUUAGUGAAGUAUGAAACAGAAAAAAAUACUAAAGAAAUGUUCAUAAAUAUUCUUCACAUUCGCAAAUACUCAUUGUCAUUGCAACACAUGUUUCAUUUAAAUAUAUGCAUAGCUGGAAAUGCGAUUAUGUGAAUUCCUUAUCGCAGUCGUUUCACUCUAUCUGUAAAAGAUGUAAUUAAUUUAAAAUGAUAAUAUUUAACGAAUUAAACAUACUUUACAAAAAUUUCUUUAUGUAUUUGCUGCAACAUAUAUUUGUAUUAAAACAAAGUGACGUUUAUCCUAUCCGUAAGACGUACUACGAGCGGCUAUAGAUUACGUAUUGUACAUACGACGAGUAUUGUACAUCCUCAAGCCUUUUAUUAACAAUAAAACAAGAGAGCAGUGUAUAUGUUGUCCUCUUUCCACAAUGAAGAAUUGGUUGACACGAAACAUCAUUAUCGCAUGCAAAAAUUAAUUAAAAAGCUGAAGUGUGUUGUCGAUUACAAUCGAUCGAUGGAAACUGUGGAUCAAAUUGCGAUACCAGUGCGAGAUUUGCAAUGUUGGCCUAUGUGAAAUACUAUGUUGCGAAAAAUACCACACGCAAUACCAUUAUUAAAAGCUAUUAGUAUCGUACAAUUGUAUUAUAUUAUAUCAUAUUAUUAUAUUCUGUAAUGUUAUUCGUUUCUAAAUUGUAAUUAAAAGUGAGUGUGUUAAGAAAUUAUUAAUAGUUUGUUUCGAGGAAAUUUUUUUCUUCGAAAAAUACCGUUAGAGCAGCUCGAUUUUACAGUGAGACGUAAACGCGACCG